CAGGCCGUCUGCGUGUCAGUCCCAGGCCGUCUGCCUGUCAGUCCCCCAGGCCGUCUGCCUGUCAGUCCCCCAGGCCGUCUGCGUGUCAGUCCCCCAGGCCGUCUGCGUGUCAGUCCCAGGCCGUCUGCGUGUCAGUCCCAGGCCGUCUGCGUGUCAGUCCCAGGCCGUCUGCCUGUCAGUCCCAGGCCGUCUGCGUGUCAGUCCCAGGCCGUCUGCGUGUCAGUCCCAGGCCGUCUGCGUGUCAGUCCCAGGCCGUCUGCGUGUCAGUCCCAUGCCGUCUGCCUGUCAGUCCCAGGCCGUCUGCCUGUCAGUCCCAGGCCGUCUGCGUGUCAGUCCCAGGCCGUCUGCCUGUCAGUCCCAGGCAUGGCUGCGUGUCAGUCCCAGGCCGUCUGCCUGUCAGUCCCAGGCAUGGCUGCCUGUCAGUCCCAGGCCGUCUGCCUGUCAGUCCCAGGCAUGGCUCGAGUCAUCCUAGUCAUUGGUCCUGCUCUAAAGGGCUUGCCCCCCCAGUCUGCCAUCACUACUUCAGUCAUGCAGCUUCUGAACAUUCAUUCAGAUGAGGGCAUUAUUAUGCCGAUUCUAAAAUCAGCCUGUCACUGCCCUUUAGAUUUGGUUUUAACUCAGUUAUGUGUUGUUGUUUUUUUACAUACUGUAUAUGUGUGACACCAUGGUUACUUUUUUGAACAUCUCCUCGGUGUACUAAGCUAUGUUUAUCAGCUGCUAUUCCUUUACCACUCCCCUGCAAACAUUCCUGCAUGUUGCCUGUCAGUGUGAUAGCAUGUUUUUGACUGCUUCUAUUCUACUCUUUGACCCCUGGUCCUGUUUUUGUGUAGCCUGAGUCCCACAUCUGCUUGUGCUCUCUUGCCGACUCCAUUGCGGUCAUUGUUAUGCGUGUAAGACCGCACACAUAGAUCUGGGACUCAGGCUAGCUGUCGCGUUGGCCAAUAGAAGCACAUUCUCUUGCGGUUCCACUGGUAAUGGAGGUGUUGGUAUGUUCUCCUGCGGUUCAGUUACAGAUAAGUCUGUGGACUGAGUCCAACUCUGGUGCGCUCCAGUCGUGGUCAGUCAGUCGUCGGUCAGUCGGUCAGUGUGAGGGCCUGGCUGGUGGGUCGGGACUGUUAGUGCUCUGUCACUCCUCAGGGAGGUGCUAUACUACAGCAUGCAGAGGAGCGUUCCCCUGCAUCUUUAGCAGCUUGCACCCCACUAGCCACGGAGAGGACAGUUACAUAUGACUUGUUAGAAGACGUAGGAGAGAGAACACUACUAUGUAGUGCUGCACCCCCCUACUGUAGCUCUUUACUAUGGAUGUCACUCCCCAGGGAUCCAACUAACCCUCACAAGACCACUGCUGCUCCCUGGACAGGAUACUCACUACUGGGAAAGCCAAUCAGAUCCUCCUCCCCUGUUCGAUUUCAUUACUGUUUCCUUCACUGGUCCAAGCCUGUUCACUAUAACCAGCUACUACAGUACAGUCAGACCUGGGAGGUUUCUGGGUUGGACUGAUAACUAGGUUCAGAUUCCAGUUCAGGGUUCAUUUAGUGAAGUGUUUAUUUGUUGUCCUUUGAUUUCCUUUCCUGGCGACACUACUAUGCUCUGUCUGUACAUUUCAGAUAUCCCAACUUCUGUCUGUAAAUAAUGUUUGUCCUGGGUAGAUUUACUUGUUUAAGAUGCAUCGUAUGUUUCUAAAAAUGAUUAUGUACUAAAAAGGACAAAAAGAAAAUGUACUUCCUUUUAGGAUUAUUGUGAAAAUUGAGGAUGUGACUGAUAUUUUAUUGGUCUUGUAUUAUUAGAAGUCAUAGAUAUUUUCUAUCAUUAUUAUUAAUUCCUAUACUUGUUUAAAAGUAGUUUAAAAAUCAUUGUACAUAAAAAAAACUGUUCCACAAUGUUUCUUUCUACAGACAAAAGUUGUAAAGUAAGUCACUUCUAAUAAAAGCUGUAGGGAACUACA